UCAGUAACAACGUAGUCAACAUGCCCAGGGGACGUGGAUAAACCUCGGGAAACUGAGGAUAAACCGCGAUAGGCCAUGAUUUCUGGAAUGGUUCAUGGCUGAAAUCUAUAUGGCCCCUGGAUUGGACUGCGGCCGAUCAGGCUGUUGGUGAGGUAAUGGCCCACCAAACCUGUAACCGGUACGGGCUCUGAGAGGAGGAGCCCGGAGAUGGGCACUGAGACAAGGGCCCAGGCCCUAUGGGGCGCAGCAGGCGCGAAAUCUCUGCAAUAGGCGAAAGCUUGACAGGGUUUACUCUGAAUGGUUCCCGUUAAAGGGGGGAUCUUUUGGCACCUUUAAAAAUGGUGCAGAAUAAGGGGUGGGCAAGUCUGGUGCCAG
rnacentral:rRNA from 1 species